rnacentral:rRNA from 1 species
AAAGGUUGACCUCKAAUCAGGUAGGAAUACCCGCUGAACUUAARCAUAUCAAUA